rnacentral:rRNA from 1 species
CGCGUAGGCGGCCGAUUAAGUCGGGGGUGAAAGCCUGUGGCUCAACCACAGAAUUGCCUUCGAUACUGGUUGGCUUGAGACCGGAAGAGGACAGCGGAACUGCGAGUGUAGAGGUGAAAUUCGUAGAUAUUCGGAAGAACACCAGUGGCGAAGGCGACACACUGGCUCAUUACUGACGCUGAGGCUCGAAAGCGUGGGGAGCAAACA